rnacentral:rRNA from 1 species
UACGUAGGGUGCAAGCGUUGUCCGGAAUUAUUGGGCGUAAAGAGCUCGUAGGCGGUUUGUCGCGUCUGCCGUGAAAGUCCGGGGCUCAACUCCGGAUCUGCGGUGGGUACGGGCAGACUAGAGUGAUGUAGGGGAGACUGGAAUUCCUGGUGUAGCGGUGAAAUGCGCAGAUAUCGGGAGGAACACCGGUGGCGAAGGCGGUUCUCUGGGCCUGUACUGACGCUGAGGAGCGAAAGCGUGGGGAGCGAACAGG